rnacentral:rRNA from 1 species
UACGUAGGGGGCAAGCGUUGUCCGGAAUUAUUGGGCGUAAAGCGCGCGCAGGCGGUCUUGUAAGUCUGUUGUUUAAACUCGGGGCUCAACCCCGAGUCGCAAUGGAAACUGCAAAGCUUGAGUACAGAAGAGGAAAGUGGAAUUCCACGUGUAGCGGUGAAAUGCGUAGAGAUGUGGAGGAACACCAGUGGCGAAGGCGACUUUCUGGGCUGUAACUGACGCUGAGGCGCGAAAGCGUGGGGAGCAAACAGG